rnacentral:rRNA from 1 species
UGGGGAAUAUUGCACAAUGGAGGGAACUCUGAUGCAGCGACGCCGCGUGAACGAAGAAGGCUUUCGAGUCGUAAAGUUCUUUUAUAUGGGAAGAUAAUGACGGUACCAUAAGAAAAAGCCCCGGCUAACUACGUGCCAGCAGCCGCGGUAAUACGUAGGGGGCUAGCGUUGUCCGGAAUCACUAGGCGUAAAGGGUUCGCAGGCGGAAAUGCAAGUCAGGUGUAAAAGGCAGUAGCUUAACUACUGUAAGCAUUUGAAACUGCAUAUCUUGAGAAGAGUAGAGGUAAGUGGAAUUUUUAGUGUAGCGGUGAAAUGCGUAGAUAUUAAAAAGAAUACCGGUGGCGAAGGCGACUUACUGGGCUCAUUCUGACGCUGAGGAACGAAAGCGGGGGUAGCAAACAGG